rnacentral:rRNA from 1 species
UAUCUCUGUAGAGUCUGCAUAUCAAUAAGCGGAGGAAAAGAAACUAACAAGGAUUCCCCUAGUGACGGCGAGUGAAGCGGGAAGAGCUCAAAUUUGAAAUCUUAAAGGGUUUCCCUUUACGAAUUGUAGUUUAAAGAAGUGUUUUCUGUUGGAGUUUUGGUAAAAGUUCUUUGGAAUAGGACAUCAUAGAGGGUGAGAAUCCCGUAUUUGACCAUUAUUUCCAGCUGUGUGAUACACUUUCAAAGAGUCGGAUUGUUUGGGAAUGCAGUCCAAAAUGGGUGGUAAAUUUCAUCUAAAGCUAAAUAUUGGCGAGAGACCGAUAGCGAACAAGUACCGUGAGGGAAAGAUGAAAAGAACUUUGAAAAGAGAGUUAAACAGUACGUGAAAUUGUCAAAAGGGAAGCGUUUGACACCAGUGUUGUUUUUCCGAAAAUCAAUUAAAAAUGGAUUCAUGCUAGGUAGUAUUGACUUCAUCGGCUUGCUGCUUAGUUUUGGGUUCUUUUUUGAUGCACUUUUCGGUUAACAAGUCAACAUUAAUUUCUUUUGUUGUAAAAGGGUAUGAGGAAGGUGGCUUUCUUUUCGGAGAAAGUGUUUAUAGCCUUGUGCCUCUGCAAUCGGAGAGAUUGAGGUCUGCAGCGUAGACUCUUCGGGGUUAGAUACAUUUGUGCUAAGUUAUAGCUUUUCAUAGACAACUUGUUGACUAUGUUUAGUCUUGUAGCUUACUCGCUUAUGCUAUUUUACCUACGCUUAGGAUGUUGAGUAGCGACAUACGCAC